rnacentral:rRNA from 1 species
UGCUUGCACCUGGUGGCGAGUGGCGAACGGGUGAGUAAUACAUCGGAACAUGUCCUGUAGUGGGGGAUAGCCCGGCGAAAGCCGGAUUAAUACCGCAUACGAUCUACGGAUGAAAGCGGGGGACCUUCGGGCCUCGCGCUAUAGGGUUGGCCGAUGGCUGAUUAGCUAGUUGGUGGGGUAAAGGCCUACCAAGGCGACGAUCAGUAGCUGGUCUGAGAGGACGACCAGCCACACUGGGACUGAGACACGGCCCAGACUCCUACGGGAGGCAGCAGUGGGGAAUUUUGGACAAUGGGCGAAAGCCUGAUCCAGCAAUGCCGCGUGCGUGAAGAAGGCCUUCGGGUUGUAAAGCACUUUUGUCCGGAAAGAAAUCCUUGGUUCUAAUAUAGCCGGGGGAUGACGGUACCGGAAGAAUAAGCACCGGCUAACUACGUGCCAGCAGCCGCGGUAAUACGUAGGGUGCGAGCGUUAAUCGGAAUUACUGGGCGUAAAGCGUGCGCAGGCGGUUUGCUAAGACCGAUGUGAAAUCCCCGGGCUCAACCUGGGAACUGCAUUGGUGACUGGCAGGCUAGAGUAUGGCAGAGGGGGGUAGAAUUCCACGUGUAGCAGUGAAAUGCGUAGAGAUGUGGAGGAAUACCGAUGGCGAA